rnacentral:Y_RNA from 1 species
UGCUGGUCCAAGUUCAGUGGUGUUUACAACUAAUUGACCACAGCCAGUUACAGAUUCCUUUGUUCCUUCUCCACUCCCACUGCUUUACUUGACCUGCCUAAA